AGAGAAUCAAAAUCGUUCCAAGCCUUACUAAGCUGCUACUCAUUCAGUAUGACUCAAUUUGAGUGAGUCUGUUUCUGAGCUUUUCGCUCAAUGAGCUUUAUUCUAAAACGGCAAUUUUCCACUGGUACACCCAGCAUCCAGUUUUAUAGCCUAGGAAUUUUGCCUCAACCUUCAGUCGGGUUAUUCGUUUAAACUGACAUGCAUGUGUUUUUUCGCUGCGUUCAUAAAAAAUUAAAAAACAAAUUAAAUUUUGUCAGAAAUUAUUCUGUUGUAUCGGUCGUGUAGUGCCGCGUUUUCCAUUCCCAGUGAUCUUGCGCGCCUGGUGUCAUAUCGUUUUUGUGGGGACCGUGUCUAUCUGGUUGGUCGCGGCGGCUGGAGGUGUUAGCUGCUUCAGCUGCCUGUCCACGCUGUUGGCCGUCUAAGUUGGACACGGGCCCUUCUUUCAGCGGUAUUUCGCUAGUGCUGGUGGGAAUACGUGGGUGUGUGUGCGUGGCUCUGCACUGACCCACACCUCCAGUCAAAUUGGUAAUAUAUCUCCUCUUAUACUAACACUAUAUUAAUGAAUCCGAUUUCUCAGGAUCCAAAUAAAGAACUUUGCUGCACACCUCUCAUGUUUUGAGGCCUUUUUCUGCCUGCUGUCACUGCUUUUAUAUAAAUCUGCGCCCUGGAGUAUUUAAUUCACAUCAAAUUCCGACCACCUAUGCUUUCUUGUGGGGAACCUUGCUGCUGGAUUGUGCCGCAACGCGGGACACUUUUUAUAUAUAUAUUGAUCGUCUGCCUGAACACGUCAUGUAGUGGAAAUGAGCUAAUCAAUGUGUGAUGCUAUCUCCAUAAACUCUAUGAUAAUGCAGAGAUUCAUACAUGCUCUAAUUGCAAUGAUGUCUGGUAUCAAAUAGGCCUUGGAUUCAACAUACUCUUCUGAUAAGAUACUGUUCCUGCAACCGCUUCCCUUGGUACUACUGGAUCUUCACAGCAGCAACACUUACAACUACACUAUUCAUACUUAUGUUACUAUUUAAGAUUACUAUUGUCAUACUUUUAAGCUCACCAUAAUGUUUAGUUCAUAGUUUAUGCUACUCAAAAUGAAUUUAUCAUAAAUUUUUUAAACUUCAAUUUUGAAAAAGAAACUUUGAAUAUAUUGUUAUAAAUCAUAUAUCACUUUAUUUUGUAAACUCUUUAUAAUUUACAACUUGAAUUCAAAUUCUUAAUUUUUCUUAUUAUUAAUGUUACAACUCCACUUUUCAUCACAUUUCUUAUUACUUUUACACAUUGUUUGUUAUUUCUCAGUAGAAUAAAUUACACUUAGAUUUAAUUUAUGUACUUAUAAAACACAACAGCCACACCACAACAUCUACUCCUGGUACCCCCUUGAGGGAGGGGGUGCCUCACCUACUCGCUUCGGCUUUUCACCGCAUUCCCUCCACUCUUUCAAACGGGAAGGAUCAAGACAGUAAUUUUGUUGUCGUCACCUCCUUUGACUGCACUACCGGCUGGAUUUGGGAUUAGUUCUAAGUUUAGUUUAAGUAAAGUUGUACCCAUUUUCUGGCU